UACGGGGGGUGCAAGCGUUAAUCGGAAUUACUGGGCGUAAAGCGUGCGUAGACGGUUAUUUAAGUCGGGUGUGAAAGCCCCGGGCUCAACCUGGGAAUUGCAUUCGAGACUGAAUAGCUAGGGUGCGGAAGAGGGAAGCGGAAUUUCCGGUGUAGCGGUGAAAUGCGUAGAUAUCGGAAGGAACACCAGUGGCGAAAGCGGCUUCCUGGUCCAGCACCGACGUUCAGGCACGAAAGCGUGGGGAGCAAACAGG
rnacentral:rRNA from 1 species